UCAUCACAAUUUAAAUUUGAUGUCAGCGGAACAAGGCCGAGCAGUUCAAAAUUUUUCCAAAUUUUCUAUUCAAAAUUUACUGUGCAUCAUUUUCAUUAUGUCUAUUUUGAUAGGCUGCAGAGUAAAAGGGAUUUUUUACCUGUCUGGUUCCCAACGCUCUUUAUCAUUCCAGGGCCUUAGAUUUAAGUCAGACCAAUUAUCUAAGCAAACGCCCCGUGAAUAUAAUAGUGCGAAGUUACUGAAGGAGCAAUACCAGCAACUUAGGUACAUGAAGCGACAACAAAUUGCUGAACGUAGAAGACUGACCUAUAAAAUCUUGCACCUUCAAUAUUUAAUUGGCGAAGUAAAGAAUAUGAUACGAUACUGAAUGCUUCAAUGUCAUAGCAAGGAUGUUCAGGAUAGAAGCAAAGUCAAGGAAAACGUUUACUUUCGGAAAAGACAAUACGAACAACUUCAGCGACUCAAGAAACUGAAUGAAGAGCAACUGAAAAAAAUUAAUAAUGAAAUUGAUAAACUAAUGAAAGAGCUUAAAAACCUCAAGAAUGAUGUUAAUAAAGGCGAGGAUAAAGAAAAAUGAAUCCUUUUUCGAUUCAGUCUUAUCUAGAUUUUUUUUUUAGAUUAGAAUGCUGCCUGUGUGUAAGGCGCUUGAGUCCAUUCGGUUUGUCAAGCCGAUUUUUGAUGCAAUUCCACAGGGAUCGAUUUAUAUCAUGUCUCGGCAUUAUACUAAGGAACUCUAUGAGAGGGCCCGUGCUGUUGAGAAUGCACAUUUUUUAAAAAUCCAAAAUGAACAGCUCAAAAAUUUACGGAAUAAAAUUGCGAGGGAGAAUCGCAUGAGGGAGCACAAAGGGAAUCUGAAGCGGGAAACUCAGCAAGAGGAAGACAAUCGCAAUUUACAUAAAACACAAAAUGUGAUAACCCAGCAAGCAGAUAGUUAAAAUGGUUUUUGUAAAAAUUUUAGUAAAAUUAUGUCAGAGCGAAGCAUUGCCAAAUCGAUCAGUAGGCCGAAGCAUAUCUGCUAACUAUUUGACAAACCCCGUUUUUGGAAAAUAAAUUCAAAAUUUUUUAUUCGCUACCAUGUGGACCUGCGUCCGACACAGAUGUGGAGCAACCAAUGUGAUCGAGUUCCUGAAAGUGGCCAACCGCCAGAACUGCCACUUGACUGAACAAGAAAAGGCCAAAAUCGUUGAGGCCAAGAGCUCGGCAAAGUGGAGUAAGCAAGUUGAUAAUUUGUUGCAGAAACGCGAAAUGCUGUCCUUGAUUAAGGAAUAUAUCCUGAUGCAGGAGCACUACGUAAACCUGCGAUUAUUAACUAACAAACGACUGCUGACCUAUGCAACGAAAUACCUACAUGUUGCUAGAACGAGUUCUCCACACUGAACUGAUAGUUAAUACUAGCCGUUGAUAUGGGAUACGGGACGGUGGUCUUCACCUUAUUCAUUAAAAGUACUCAUCAUUUUAUUUAAAAUAGUUUGUAUUUCUCAUUUACAGUUGCUUUACAGGAAGCGUUACAUAACACGAGGUUUCAAAAAAAAUAUUAAAGAACAGAAAACUUA